UGCAGUGAUGUUGUAAUUUGCGUCUUACUCUGUUCUCAGUGACAGUUGCCUGCUGUCAAUUAAAGCUGGUUCAGAAGAUUGACGAAAAUUGUUACUGAGCA
ensembl:snoRNA SNORD16 Small nucleolar RNA SNORD16